AGCCAUUAGAUGAUACUAUAUGGUUUUACCUGCCCAAUGUUACGAUGAAUGGCCGCGGUACCCUGACCGUGCUAAGGUAGCGUAAUCAGUUGACCUUUAAAUGAGGUCAGGAAUGAAUGGAAUAACCGGGUUUAGCUGUCUCCAAAUCAUUAUAUUGAAUUUACUAUCUAAGUGAAAAAGCUUAGGACUUAAAAAAGGAGGAGAAGACCCUUAGAAUUUUUUUAAAAAGGAUUUUAAUUUCCUUACAGUUUUAUUGGGGCGAUAAAGAAAUAAUUAAAACUUUCUUUUUUAACAAGCCGAUUGUAUUAAGUAAGAAUAAAUUACCUGAGGGAUAACAGCAUAAUUCUACAAUUGAGUUUGUGACCUCGAUGUUGGACUAGGAAACCAGUAGGCUAGCCGUUUACUGUGUUAGGUUCUGUUCGAACUUUUAUUCCU
rnacentral:rRNA from 1 species